CGGCUGUGAAGAUAAAUGCGCCAUAAUGGUGAUUGGGUCAUCACCUUCUUCUGAUAUACCAUAAGACAUCUGAGCAU